GUAAGGAAUAUUGGACAAUGGACGCAAGUCUGAUCCAGCCAUGCCGCGUGAAGGAUUAAGGUCCUCUGGAUUGUAAACUUCUUUUAUAAGGGACGAAAAAAGGCUUUUCUAAGUCGUCUGACGGUACCUUAUGAAUAAGCACCGGCUAACUCCGUGCCAGCAGCCGCGGUAAUACUGAGGGUGCAAGCGUUAUCCGGAUUCACUGGGUUUACAGGGUGCGUAGGCGGGCAGGUAAGUCAGUGGUGAAAUCCUAGAGCUUAACUCUAGAACUGCCAUUGAUACUAUCUGUCUUGAAUAUUGUGGAGGUAAGCGGAAUAUGUCAUGUAGCGGUGAAAUGCUUAGAUAUGACAUAGAACACCUAUUGCGAAGGCAGCUUACUACGCAUAUAUUGACGCUGAGGCACGAAAGCGUGGGGAUCAAACAGGAUUAGAAACCCGAGUAGUCC
rnacentral:rRNA from 1 species